UUCCGGUCCCUCCGCCUAGCUGCCCCGCUUCAGGGAUGUGAGCGCCUCGCGCAAAUAGGGCGGGGCGUGCCGUGCGGUGCGGUGCGCGUGCGCAGGAGCCACGAGAGGGACGAAGCCGAACCUCUGAACCGCCGCCAGGUCCGCUCCGGCUCCACGCCGCCCGUCGCGCCGCCACCCGCGUCCUUUUCCUCCUCCUCCGCCAACGCCGCCGCCGCCGCCGCCGCCAUGGGAGUGCAGGUGGAGACCAUCUCUCCUGGAGACGGGCGCACCUUCCCAAAGCGCGGCCAGACCUGCGUGGUGCACUACACGGAUGAGUGUGGGUCAGAGAGCCAAACUGAUAAUCUCCUCAGACUAUGCCUAUGGAGCCACCGGGCACCCAGGCAUCAUCCCACCACAUGCCACUCUUGUUUUUGAUGUGGAGCUUCUAAAACUGGAAUGACAGAAGUGGCCUCCUCCCUUAGCUCUGCACGUGGAUCUGCCAUGGAGGAAUCUGGUACCUCCAGAUGGGUGCACAUGAAUCCAUGGGGAGCUCUUCCUGACGUCCCACCACCCUUUGUAUAGACACCUACCCGACUGAAUGUGUUCCGUCACUCAGCUUUGCUUCGGACACCUCCAUGUCCUCUUCCCCCCUCUGUAUGUGUGUUGACCUAAACUAUAUGCCAUAAACCUCAAGUUACUUUAUUUUGGGGUGAAGACUCAGUUUCUGUUUCAGAUCUAAGUUUCCAAUGAAGUAUAUUGUCAAGUGUUAACAGCACAAGCGAUGGGUUAACUUAGAAUAGAAAUUGGUGUUGGGGGGGGAUUUGCAAGAAUUUUUAUUUUAUUUUAUUUUAAUUUUUUGGAUGAAAAUUUUAUCUAUUAUAUAUUAAGACAUUCUGCUGCUGUGCUGCAAAGCCAUAGCAGAUUCGAGAUGCUGUUGAGGGCUGGAUUUUUCUCUAGUGAGGGAGGUCCUGUUAAACUGAAAGCCCUACCCAAACUGAGGUGGGAAGGAAGCGGGGGAGAGAGCCUUGGCUUCUGACAGUCCUUCCACCUUCUGAAACUAGCUGCCUUUUAAAGCAGAUCCCUUCACUGCUAUGUUGGACACUACAGUAUCUGUCCCUGGGUUGGCAGAGACUUGAAAGCCUUUGUGACCUGGCUUAAUUUGUUUUUCAUCCUAUGGUUUUUCUAAUGGAUUUUCUGGACUUUUGUAAUCUUGUAACUAUUCAAGCUCCACUUUCUAAAUUUUAAGAACUUCAGUGGAAAGUUUAAAUUGAAGGUGCUGUUUGUAGACUCACCACCCAACGGACGCCCAGCCACCACGGCAAAUCCUUGAGUGUUCUCUAAGAAUACGAUGCUGGUCAUCACAGCUUCAGCAUCUCCUGGGUUUUGAUGCUUGGCUCUUUGCUGAUCUUGGCUUCCUGGCUUUUCCUCCUUCAGUUCCUUCUCACCCUCUGCUGUCCUUGUGUAGUGAUUUGGUGAGAGAAAGCUUUUGUCCCCUGCCCUCUGCACUACAUAUGCGGUUCAAGUUUUAUUAUUGCAAUAAAAGUGCUUUAUGCUGGCUUUUCUCA
rnacentral:lncRNA from 1 species